GGAGGACAGGCCAAUCGCUCCCAGCUAUUUGAGCCAAUGGAGAAGUUCCUGAUGCCCACACCUGCUGGUCUCACCGCUAGGGCCUGGGCAUCACAGGCAGGGGGAAUGGGGAGGGGACGGUAGCGUCAGCCUACACCCACACGCAGUUUCCUGAUAAAAGGUCCUUUGGAAACUUUGAUUCUCUUCUCACCAAGUUGAACGGAGAUGUGUUCCCAUAGUAAGAGUGAGGCCCCUGCAUUUGCUGCCCUCGGUUUUCCCAACUAACACCAGGGCCUCCCCCCUGUACCCCAUUCAUAUGCCUCAGAAGCUGACAAUGACUGUUGGGCUUUUCCAAUGAAUACCAGAACACCAUUUCCUGCAGCCUGAAAAGAAGACAGUAUAAUUGUUUGGCAGCAAGAGACAGGAUCUCGCUGCGUUGCUCAGACUGGUCUCGAACUCCUGGGCUUAAGGGAUUCUCCUGCCUCAAUCACAGCCUCCCAAGUAGCUGAGAUUAAAAGUGCUCACCACCGUGCCAGCGAGUUCAGUUUUUGAGAUAAGGGGAAAUUGGAGCUCAGAGAUUUAAGCCACCUGCCAGAGGUCACAUGGCCCAUAAAAGAUCUGUCCCAUUCCACCAAGGAUUUAAGGCUAAAGAUUUAAGUUGUGAAGAUGAUAAUGGAUUGACUCUAUGAAUGGCCACAUUUUUUUAUGCCUCCCUUUUCCCUUGUCCUCGGGCAGUGUCCUCCGACACUGACUCUGUGCUUGGCCCUGUGACUUGCUUUGGCCAAUGGUACAGCAGCAAACUUGAUGCAAACACAACUUGAAAAAGAAGAGGACAGCCAAGUCAUCCCAGCCAAGGCCACCCUGGACCAGCCAGCCUCUUGCCAAGCUGCCAGUGACCACAGAGUCCAAUUAACAACAGCCAGUCCUGGCCCAGGGUGGAGCCAAGACUCUGAGGAGAGGGCUGAACUGUGAACCUAGAAGUACCAUCUCCCCCUGCACACACCUUUGGUCAAGUUGACCCCAAGAAGAAGGACAAGUCCUCUGCACGGCGAUGAGGCCAUACACACAGUCUGUGGCCCGGCUUUGGGAGACUGAUGGGACAAAGGAUGUUUUGCACGAUCCUUGGUCUCUGAGCAAAUAUAUACAUGGGUUAACACAAA
rnacentral:lncRNA from 1 species